AUUUCGACCAAUCUUGCUUCGUCUGCACCCAUAUCUGCACUUUACACCUUUACAUACGAAUCAGUUAAAGGGGCCUUACUACCUCUUUUUCCUAAGGAAUGCCACUCUUUUGCACACUGCUUGGCUGGGGGUUCUGCAAGCAUUGCCACUUCAUUCAUUUUCACUCCGAGUGAGCGCAUUAAACAACAGAUGCAAGUGGGCUCCCACUAUAAGAACUGCUGGAGUGCCUUAAUUGUGAUUACAAGAAGUGGUGGUUUGCCUUCUCUGUAUGCUGGAUGGAAAGCUGUACUCUGGAGGAAUAUUCCACACUCAAUCAUUAAGUUCUAUACAUAUGAAAGAUUGAAGGAGUUGAGGUUAUCAUCAGUUCAACUACGCAACCAAAAUGACACACUAAUGACACUUGCCUGUGGAGGAUUAGCUGGCUCUACUGCUGCACUAUUCACAACUCCCUUUGAUGUUGUCAAGACAAGAUUACAGACACAGAUUCCUGGAUCUAUGACUCAGUUUGGUGUAUUCGGCACACUUCAAGAAAUUGCAAAACGUGAAGGUUUGAAGGGUCUCUACAGGGGCUUGAGUCCUAGAUUGAUCAUGUAUAUGACCCAGGGAGCACUUUUUUUUGCAUCUUAUGAAUCUUUCAAGAAGAUAUUUUCUUUGGAUAUCCCGCAGCCUAAAACAGAAACAGUUCCAUAUGAACAUAAGGAAGAUGAUCAUGCAACGUUGCCUUCACGAAGCUAACAAAGGAAACAUCA
rnacentral:misc_RNA from 1 species